UGCGUUCUUCUAUGUCGCUUCUAUGGUUUCCCCUGGCCCCUACCCCCUCCCCCCCCUCUCUCUUCCCCCAAACUCUCUCUCUCUCUCUCUCUCUCUCUGUGUGUGUGUUGUUCCUUCAUUUUGGUCUGAAUGAAUUGGAGAUCAAAGGAUGAGAAAAAACUGCAACAAUAUGAUGGAUUCCGAUCCAUGAUUCCUAGUAUUUAAGUCUCUGAUGAUUUCAAUUUUCUUUUCCUUUAUAUACAUUUUGCAUCAUUUGUUUAUAUGUUCCUAAUUUUCUGUGUCUUUACUUUCUUCCGAUGGAAUCAAUUAAUUUUCGCUUUUAGAUCAAAUGCGAGAUAUGAUGAGUUUUCAUUUGGUCCGUGUUUCAGAUUCAACCGUGACCGAUAAAUCUUCACCAAACUCUGAUCUCUUUUAUGGGAUUCUGCUGUGAUGAACCAUGGAAAAAAUUCACAUGUCAGACUUCAGAGAUUUUGCAUAAAAAUCUAUGAGAAGAAACGUUCAUGUUUCCUGAGCA